UUUGUGGAAAUUAUAACCGAUACCUGCUCUAGGAAAAACUUCCAGCAGACUCAAGAGACGAAGAUGUAAUAAAAUUUGAUAAAAUUUGAUUUAUGAACUCACUGUUUCAAAGUAGAUUCAUACAUUCAUAAAAUGGUGUAGUUAUAUUAUAAAACAUUCGUAACUGACACAUUUUUGCAUUCGUUUCAUACACCACAUAUUCAUUAAAAAAAAGAAACACAAUAGAUGCGUUAUUCUCACCAUAGAGAUCUGAAAAUUAGUAAGACUUUUUCCCGCCCAAAUUUUUUAAGGUUUUCAAGGGGGCAGCCAUUUUGAAAUGAGCAGGAAAAGUCAUUCUACUGCCCCUAGUGGAAUCAUGAUGAACUACAGGACAGAAAACGUGGACCAACUGAUGUUCAAUGGGUUCAUUAAGGAAAGUCUGGAUCAUGCUUAUGAGAUCAGGGUCUCAGAAAUGUGUUUAUUGGUGUGAAGAAGACUCAUCGCUACAAGGAAAAUUGUUAUUUAACUUGGUAAUCAGCUACAGGCAGUUUUUAGGAAGAUAAAUUAAAAAAUACAAACAGGAAAAACAAGACGGAGGUCUCUGCAUUAGUUUGGGUUUUCAGGUUCCUCUUUAAAAAGAAUGCAUCCACCCAAGCAGGAGCAUUGCUGAAAGUCCUACUUCUCAGCCGUCUCCUGAACACACCACAACCCUCACCUGCUGAGUUACUGCAGACCAGAAGUAAAAAAAUCGGAGUUUUUGUGCACAUUUUUCUGCACAGUCGGAGUCUUUCAGCCUCCUUCAAAGGUCCUUCCUGUUCUUUUCAAGCAGCGAUGCGCUCAGAGUCACUGACACCGCCAUUCCUUUCUGCUCUGAUGUUCAGUUUGAGCUUCAGCAGAUCACCUCAUCACACCUGACAGAGAAAAGGUAACUGAGCUGCAGCUCCAUGUGUUUUUCAUCCUUCUCUCAAAGAGAAGACAAAGAGGACUUCCUCUGCAGAGAUGAUGUUUUCUGUCCAGUAGGGGGCAGUCUUGGUGUUUUAGCUUCACUCACUUUUCUGCUAAGACUGAAAGAAUUAACAAGUGUUUCCUAAUGUGCUAACAGAAUGAACAGGAUAUUUCAUGAAGAUGUGGGAUUUUCCAGUUUCAGGAUCAGAUUCAGGAUCUCGAACGGUUUUAUUUAGGAGAACUCUCUUCAGAGUGUGAUGACAUCGACCGGAACCGGCUUCGUUCGGACAAAACCCACCAGGCAGUCUGCUGCUGAAACAAAUCAUAAAUAUCUAUCCAUGAACCACUCAUAAAUGUACAUUGUAUUCAUAUAUUUGUUAUUAUGUCUUAUGGAUCUUUUAAACUAUCAUUGAUGGUGCUUUUAUUUUGAAUACAAAGAAAUUAAAAUAUUUUAACAUAAAAAUACACUGAUGGAUAAAAUGUAGAAAAAUGAAAAUGUGUUUAUUCUUCCCCCAACAAUUGUGUUCUGAUAUUCACACAUUUCUCAAAACUUAAGAAAGAUAAAUAAAUUCACAUCAUGAGUUUAUUUACAACAAAUCCUUCAAAAUGUUUGUUAGGCAUUUACUGUUUUAUCAUAAUUCAUAAUGUAUUAUUUACUAUAGAAAUGAAAAACAUAUCUUAAUAUGACUUUAAAUUACACACAUGCAUGAUAAUAAAUAAACAUCAAACAUCUGAACGACACAGUUUGACUCCAGGAGGUUUAAAACACACAAAACCCAAAGAUAUACAGUAAAAGAUCCAGCUCAAUAUUUAAACAUUUAUCUUAAAGUUUAUUUAUGAAAUUUAGGAUAAAAUGUUGACAGGUUUACCUCCAAUAUUUAAAAAAAAUCGAAUUACAUAUAUAUAUAUAUAUUUAAUUAAAUGUAAUUAAAAUAUGCCCUAAAUAAUUUUUAUUUUUGUAUUCUGAAAAAAAGAACCUGAACAGAUUAUUCAUCCUGAUAAAAGUAUCGUCUCGUCUUGAGCUGCAGAACUACAUCAUUUGUCUCAUAAAACAAAUGUUGGAUGAAGGCACAGAAACAGGUUUCAUUCGUAAUCUUCCCAAACACCAGCAGGAAAAUAUGUCAAAAUUAAAUGAGUUUAUAUUAAAAAAAAAAAAUUGAAAUGAACCAAAACAACAAUGUUGAUAAUUGUGUCUAUAAUCUAUAAGAAUGAAACAAAUGCAUGAAGAAGAAAAACACAUUUUAGGCAUGUUUCUUAUAAAAAAAAUGUGCAUGAUGUUCUAUUAAAUAAAGAGAAAAAUAAAAAUUUAAAUGCAAAAAAAUUAGCUUAAGCUAUGAAAUAUCAAUGAUAAUCAACAGUUACUCCCUCUUUCAUUAAAUGUGUCUUUUGACUUCAACAUAAAACAAUCCUCAGAUUGUGGUUCUUGGUGAAACGACAGUAAGUAGCGGUCAACAUCAGAGCCCUGAAGGGGGCGGGGCUGCUGAUCUUCAUCUCUGAUGAACGACCACGGCGCUGCGGCGUGCAGACCUCACUGAAAGUUUGUUGAGUUUGUGGCACUCAGCGGUGCGAGUGGGAGGACAGACACUAAAGGUCAGAGCGGAGCAGAUGUACGUCAACAUCGAGCUGUGAAGGAGUUCAUCUCAGCCUCGGCGGGCCUCAGGUGGUCCAGUUGGAAGAAGAAAAGGAAAACAUGACAGAUUCUAUGAGCUGCAUCUGAACAAUCAGAAAGACGAAAGCUGAGGAACACCUGCAGGAUCAUGGAGUCCAGGACUGAGCCAUGAUCUCCUCUGUAAUCAGAUUGUUGUAAUCCAUAAGACCGGACCAUCAGAACCAUGGUUCAAGGAGAGCGGCAGAUCUACCACAGAUAUCAGAGAGCUGCAAAGACUUUGUGGGGUGGGGGUGACUCCUCGGUCCCUUAUCCUCAAGUUUCUAGAUCCUGGAUCACGUGCAUUAACUGCUGGAUCUCUGAGCCCCAAAAGUAUCCUAAACCCAAACCAUCAAAGUGGUUAAAUAUGCUACUAGUGGUAUAUUUAACUCGUUAUUGUAGCAUUUUUCUGAUGAUGGAGGAUAUAAAGAAAGAAAAUUCAGAUUAAAACGGCAUUUCUGAGGAUUUUUUACCCAAAUCAUUGUGAGUCAGAAGCAGCAGAAAAAAGAUGUUUGAAAAAGAUCUUAUUUGUGAUGUAGGAUCGACUACAGGAAACCACCAGCUCCCUGCUCCAUUCUGAUCCUCCACUUGCUGACAAAUAGAUCCAUGAACGUCUUUGUUUUUCCUGGAUCAAAGCUGUACGGCUGGAUAGAAAUGAUACUGAUCAUCAUCUUUGCUGCAUUAUUAGGGUUGUGAGGGGCUGUAAGCUAGUGGUAAAGGGUAAAUAAAGGGAUAAUGGGACAUCAAGGUGGGUUUGCCCCGCCCACAACUAAAUUCUUUCUUUAAAAAAAAAAAUCAUUUUUAUUCAAAACAAGACCUGAAAAAAGCCAAGACAAUAGUAUAACAAACAGAACAGAAGAACAGUAGUUAGUAAAGAUAUUAACAUAUAAACAAAAGAAAGCAUAUAUUUUAAAAAACAAAAUAAAUGAGUAAACUUCUCCAUAAGCAUAUAUAAUAAUCAAUAAGUCAUUAUUGCAUCGAAACUGUCGAUUGUUUGAAAGAAAAUCUCUAUAAAGAAAAACAUCAAAAAGGUAUUUAGCCCUGAGAAAGCUUCCAUGCUUUAAAACAAUGUCAGUUUUA